UGACAGCAGUCUUGCCUUUUAAAACUGCAGACACGAACCCUAGUCAGUGAACAUGUGAGCGGUUGGAAGUGGGAGGCGCACUUCAUUUCGCUUAAAGGUGACAGAGGGGUGGACGGUCAUCCCGUCAUCGCUGCGACAGAUACCAGAAAGCCGCCCGCCGCUGCACAAUGACCUGGUUUUGCCGAGUGACCUCACAACCCGCCAGUCGGACGUCACAACGCGUCAACAGAGAGGUCAGUGUCACUUGCCCCGUUGACCUCUGGAUUGGGGCGAGACACUCACGCAGACGGCGGGAAGACAAAGGAGUCCUUUCAGCCGCAGACCUGUCAGACAGCUGUUGCCGGUCCGCAGUAUAUGUGAGAGCUCGAAGGCCCGAAUAUAAACAGUCGGCCUGAGCUAAAACCUGUCACCCAGCUGAAGGAUACUGGUGAAGAAAACGUGUUCAUGCCCUUGCGUUCUCCUCUCACACAGUGUCAGUGAAAACAUGUGAAACGCAUGAACUGUGAGCAGAUUAAGAAGAUGUGAUUUGAAAUUCCUGAAUUUUCCAUGGUCUGUUUUUAGGCUGGAAGUAAGAGCAUUCUACCCCCAAGUUUACAGUGCACAGAUAUAGCUUGUUCAAACAUGAUGUCGGUUUUACUGCUGUGGUACUGGCAUGAUGUCAUUUGUUGUGUUGACAUUUAUUAUGAGAAAGGUUAAUAUGAUAAUAAAUAAUAAAAAAGACCACAUUAAGAACAAAAGAAAGAAAGAUGAUUGUAUGCGUGUGCCGUCAUGCAUGAAUAUCUGUGUGUGUGUGUGUGUGUGUGUGUGUGUGUGUGUGUGUGUGUGUGUGUGUGUGUGUGUGUGUGUG